AUUGAACGCUGGCGGCAGGCCUAACACAUGCAAGUCGAGCGGAAGAAGGGAGCUUGCUCCUGGAUUCAGAGGGGGGCGGGUGAGUGAUGCCUAGGAAUCAGCCUGGUUGUGGGGGGUGACGUCUGGAGAAGGGCGCGGCUACCGCCUGAGAGCAGCGGGUGCAGGAGGGGGGGGUUCGGAACUCACGGUAUGAGGGGAGUCUAGGUCGGAUUAGCUAGUCGGUGGGGUAAGGGGCUGCCAAGCAGGCCAUCCGUAACUGGUCUGAGAGGAUGAUCGGUCACACUGGAACUGGGACACGGUCCAGACGCCUACGAGAGGCAGCAGUGGGGAAUAGGGGACAGUGGGCGAAAGCCUGAUCCAGCCAUGCCGCGUGUGUGAAGAAGGUCUUCGGAUUGUAAUGCACUUUUAGGUGUUAGGAAGCGCAGUAAGUUAAGACCAUGCGGUUUUGACGGUACCAACAAAAGAAGCACCGGCUAACUACGUG
rnacentral:rRNA from 1 species